rnacentral:rRNA from 1 species
UACGGAGGGAGCUAGCGUUGUUCGGAAUUACUGGGCGUAAAGCGCACGUAGGCGGCUUGUAAGUUAGAGGUGAAAGCCCGGGGCUCAACCCCGGAAAUUGCCUUUAAGACUGCAUCGCUUGAAUCCAGGAGAGGUGAGUGGAAUCCGAGUGUAGAGGUGAAAUUCGUAGAUAUUGGAAGAACACCAGUGGCGAAGGCGGCUCACUGGACUGGUAUUGAC